GAUGAACGCUGGCGGCGUGCCUAAUACAUGCAAGUCGAGCGAACAGACGAGGAGCUUGCUCCUCUGACGUUAGCGGCGGACGGGUGAGUAACACGUGGAUAACCUACCUAUAAGACUGGGAUAACUUCGGGAAACCGGAGCUAAUACCGGAUAAUAUAUUGAACCGCAUGGUUCAAUAGUGAAAGACGGUUUUGCUGUCACUUAUAGAUGGAUCCGCGCCGCAUUAGCUAGUUGGUAAGGUAACGGCUUACCAAGGCAACGAUGCGUAGCCGACCUGAGAGGAUGAUCGGCCACACUGGAACUGAGACACGGUCCAGACUCCUACGGGAGGCAGCAGUAGGGAAUCUUGCGCAAUGGGCGAAAGCCUGACGGAGCAACGCCGCGUGAGUGAUGAAGGUCUUCGGAUCGUAAAACUCUGUUAUUAGGGAAGAACAGAUGUGUAAGUAACUAUGCACGUCUUGACGGUACCUAAUCAGAAAGCCACGGCUAACUACGUG
rnacentral:rRNA from 1 species